rnacentral:lncRNA from 1 species
GUGAGUGGUGCUGUAAUGAACAUGAGAGUGAAGCUAUCUCUUUGACAUACUGAUUUCAAUUCCUUUGGAUAUGUACAUAAUAGUGGCCUUGCUGGAUCUUAUGGUAGUUCUAUUUUUAGUUUUUUGGGGGGAACUCCAUACUGUUUUCAAUAAUGGCUAUACUAAUUUACAUUCUCACAGUGUGCAAAUGUUCCCUUUUUUCCACAUCCUUGCCAACACUUGUUAUGGUGUAUCUUUUUAUUUCUUAGAGACAGGGUCUCACUCUGGCACCCAGGCUGGAGUGCAGUGGUGUGAUCACCACUCACUGCAGCUGUGACCUCCUGGGCUAAAGCAAUCCUCUCACUUCAGUCUCCCAAGUAACUGGGACUACAGGCAUGUGCCACCAUGCCUGGCUAAUUCUUUUUUAAUUUUUUGUAGAGAUGAGGUCUCACUGUGUUGCCCAGACUGGUCUUCAACUCAUGGGCUCAAGCUAUCCUCCUGCUUCAGCCUCCCAUUGUGCUCGGAUUUACAGUGACUGAUCAUCAAUCAACUCUUUCUUACUGGUGACAAUAUAAUCAAGAUAAACUGUUCUUAGAUUAUUUCUCUAUUUGUAUAAAUAUUACCAAUGUUGUAACAUACUGUGAGGACCUUAAAUAUUAUGCCAGGUUGAUGACUGGCCUUCAGCUCAACCAGUAUUUGAUUCAUUAAAAUAUCUAACCAACAUGUAAUUCUGACACAAAGCCGUGCUGGUAUAUCGACUGAACAAAAUAUCCACUUUAUCUAUCUGAUUUAGAAGUGUCAACUUCAAUUCCUAUCAUAUCACCAUUUCCUAUUGAUUCUUCCCUAUUAACUUUAAUACUCUGUUGGAUUUCCUUUAAUUGUUCAGCUUAGAUGUCUGUGUAUUUUCACCACUUACAAAGUUGGUGACACUAUGCCUCCCUUUACCAUGUUUAUUUCUUUGAAAUAAUCGAUGCAGAAUAAGCCUUAUUUUUUCAUAAGGGUUAUUCCAUUAAACUCUGAUUAUGAUUUAGUAAUAAUUGAGGUCUGAAGUUAAUAUUUAAGGCUUCUGUUGAUAUACAUAUAAAAAAUCAAACUUGAAACCUUCUACAGGAAGACAUGGAUAGAAAAGACACUUUGUACCAAGGCAAAGGGGAGAAAUGGAGCUUUGAGAAUACUUUUUGGUAUUUGAAAUGCCCGGGAAAUAAUUAGUUUCAUUUCUGUGAUUCCAAAUAUAUGUGUUGAGCAGCUUAUAGAUUUCAGAUGUAUUUUGUUAUACUUACUGAUACUCAUAAUGGCCUCCUCUCCCACUCACAACUCUGCUUCUUUCCUGACCUAUUGCUUUUGGUGUUUCAUUCUCUCUCAUUUUCUUCUGGAGAUUGUUAAGUGUGAUCUUAUUGCCGCUUCGCAUAGAGUGUAUUGACAGAAGUGGUAAGAUUUUCUUGAUUGUGUAGUUAUGCACAUGUUUAACCUGUAUGUAUCAACCAAGUACUUAUUCUACAGAAUGUGUAUUGUUUGAUAUAUGAAGAAAAUGAUAAGCUUAUGUUUGCACAGGCUGUCUAUUCCCUUUGCAUUCAUGCUCUAUAUUAAACCAUUAUUGACACUUUUAAAUGUUGUGGUAUUUUCUCUUUCCUUAAUAUGAUUUCAAUAGAUAUUGUGUUCAAGAAAAAGUUUUGUUAAUAUUCAAAGUGUUCUGAGUCUGUUAUAUUUCUUUGUCCUGAACAGUUUUGACUUAUCUAAUACAGUGAAAAUUAUGGUCCAAUUUGUUGCCUACUG